GUGGUUGUAGCUCAGUGGUACAGCACUCACCUAGCAUGUGUGAGGACUGGGGUUCAAUCCUCAGGACCACA
rfam:Ictidomys tridecemlineatus contig029719, whole genome shotgun sequence.